UACAGAUGGAAGUUGCCAAAUGACAUGAAACCUGAGGACCUGGACAUGGAAGAAAGAUUCGGCAUUACUACACCAAGAAAAAUCCCACUUGUUGCCAUUGUUGAGCCUCGGCUUCCUCGUAAUCUUUAUUGACUAUGAUUCACUACGUGUAUGUUUGAUCUCCCAGUAUCAUCAUUAUCAACUUGUGUUCAAAUAAAUCAGCUCUGCAAGUUUAGAAUUUGUAGCUGCGCUUAUAUGUGUUUGCCAAUUGCCACAACGCUACAAAACCCUUGUAGUUGGUGCAUGGCAUAUACGUAAUCACUGAGAUUGUUAUGCGUAUUGAAGUCCAAAUUUGUUCGCAAUUAUGUGAAACUGUGAAUAGGCACACCCCUGAUGUUUCAAAUACAUUCUAUAACACUCUGAUGCUAAUUUAAAUCUGCAAUAGUAGGUUCACAGUCAAAGCAAUGUGCUCUCUGCCAUCUUUCCUCUUAGCAUCUUCCAUCAAUUCCUGUGCACCUCUAAGCCAUGCCACUGGAUUGGUGCUACUUUCCGUACUUGUUGGGAGGAAGAGAGAAAGAGAGAGAGAAAAAAAAAAAGGGCAAAUUACAUUUUAGCCCCCUGUGGUUUUCGAAAAAACCACAUAACCCCCCAUCGUUCAAAAAGCUAUACAUAAACCCCCUGUGGUUUGGGUUGAACUGGCAAAUAGACGGAAAGCAUCCACCGUAACGAUUCGUGGGCAAAACGCGCCUGUUCUUCUGGUAGCAGUAGGAAACAUACCCAUAUUACCCCUGACCAAUUUGACGUACCCAAUAAAGCCUAGAUGGGUGCUCCUCAUCUCUUUCCAUCUUCCGAAAUACUUUGUAGCUGACUUUGCACUGAAUGUUGGUGAAGGAACCCAAGAUAGAGAACGAAGGAAAUCUGAAGGUGAGUUCUAACAUCAAGGUGCAGUCUUUUCCUUUUCCUGAAAUAUGACUUGAAUGGAUUAUUAAUUUUUUUUCAAUAAACUAUAGAUGUCAUGCUCAAGCAGUGCUGGUGGAAGUACUGAAGAUCUAAGGUACCAAUACCUAUUUUGUUCAUGUGGGAGAAAAGCAGCGGUAAAAAUUGUUGAAUCUGACAAACCUUCAAAAGGAAAGCUAUAUUUUGUUUGUGCGACAAGAAGUUGUGAAUUUUUCUCAUGGUGCAAUCCAACAAGGAGAAUAAGACAAAAUUACACUAGUGAUUUGAAUGUUACAAGGAGAGACAUAUUUAGUGGAGAAUCAAGUAUUGAUAGUUCAGAAGUGGAAGGCUUGCGCAUGGAUGGUGGUUUAUAUUUGAGGAAAAUGAAAAACAUUGAAGAAAGCUUAGGAGCCAUGAAGAUUUGCGUGGGUGCUUGUUUUGCUAUAUCUGUGCUAUCAUUUCUCAUUUUGAUGUUUAAGUGAAAAUAAUUCAGAUGAAUUGUGGCUCUAAAAGUGUUGUAAAUCUGAACCUGUUGUGUUCAAUGAAUGAAUGAAUGAAUCUGCUUUGGUAGUCAAUUGAUAUAAUAGGCAAACAUGAUUUCCAGUUGGUAUGAACCUGCUUUGGUACUCACAGGCUGAACUUGGUACUCAUCGAGACAGCAUAGCCAAAAAGCACAUACAUGAGCUAUCCAAAGUGGACAUUUGCAAUGGUUUAAAGCAAAAGAAAGUAUCUCAAUUAAUUUAAGGGAUAAUUUCAGAAACCUCCCCUGAGAGUUGGACGGGUAACUAGUGUGUCAGAGAGUUGCCAUAAUCUCCUUAAACCCGCAUGCGGGUUUAAAGAGUAUUCGGAUAUUCUCAUAUGCACCUAUGCAAAUCGAACCAACCGGAUAUCUUAUCCGUAUCCCAUUUUUUUAAAUAAAAAUCUUAUAAAUUUGAAAAAUAAAAUCAAAUUUAGAUGUAUUAGGGUUUUAAAAAUAUUAUAUAAGUGAUAAAAAUUUUAUAAAUUGUAAAAAUAAAAUCAAAUUUAAAUAAUUAAAUGUUAUAUUUGCAUAAGAAAUAAUACAAUAAUCAUAAUAAUGAUAAUAUAAUAAUAUUGGUGUAAUAAAACUGCCAUUAAUUUAAAUAUUUACUUAUAAUGCCCAAAGAGUCUAAUUACCAAUUUUUUCUUCUCGCGCUCAAAUAUAACAUUAACCCGCAUGCGAGCUAACCUUGAAAUAGAAAAAACACAGAAUCCCGCUUGCGGGUUUCAGUGUUAUUAUGCAGGCGGGAUUUUAACCUGCUUGCUUGUAAACAUGUACCACAUUGCUCUGAAAUUAUCCCUUAAUUUAACUACCAUUAUAGCUAUGCGGCAAGAGUUCAAGUAUAGACAAAUAAGGAGCAGUAAAGGUUCAGACUAAGUUCUAAAGCAAAAAAGCACACAUCAAAAGCCAAUUUCCAAGAUGCCUCAAGCAUGGAACCAAAUUCUGAAGCAUUGAACCAAGCAUUGAACCAAAUUCGUAUGACUUACUUAACAUGGGCUCACACCACUGAACUUUGGAUUCAUUUGACAAUAUAGCUGUCCAGAAGUUCAUAACCAAUUUUUACAAAACAAAAUAAGGUACAUAAGUAGCUAAUCAUUAAGUCCAGCAGACACCAAGAUUCAACAAAAAGUGUAGCAACAACAUAUUAACAGUAGACACCAAGAUUCAACAGAAAGUGUAGCAACAACAUAUUAAAAAAAAGCAUUUGCAGACAAAUAACUUAAUUGAAUUACAAACACGUUUAGCCCUCUUAGUCCUCACAUUCUAGAAACACGUUUAGCUUUCUUAGCCCUCAAAUUUUCCAACACACUUGCAACUGUUGGUACAAGUUUUCUGACUCUAGUUGAUCUUCUAGUAUCCAAAAUGGGUUCAACAGCAGAAGCAGUUCUUGUAGUAUCCAAAACAGGUUCAACAGGUUCAUCAGUUGGUCUUCUAGUGUCCAAAACAGGUUCAACAGGUUCAUCAGUUGGUCUUCUAGUUUCAAAAACUGGUUUAGCAGCAGAAGUUUCACAAGGCUGCAUAAAUAGAUAGGUUUAAGUCAGUUAAAUGCAGUAAUUGCAGUAAUAACCAUCAUCAUUAAUAGUACCUGUGACACUGAACCCUGUUGUGAGACAGAUCCAAUACUUGUAUUUCCAGCAUUUACAACAUCUUCACCUGCAUUUCCAGCAUCACUAGCUCCAGCAGGCACCUAUUUUAAUGGUAACACAUAAGGUAACAAAUUAAGUACAUAUGACACUGAUUACAAAUUAACUACUACUUACCUUAUAAAACUUGGACUUUGGAUGGAUUGGGAAUUUACAAGUCCUAGAAUUAUGUCCUGGCCUAAAACACUUCUUACAGUGCACAACAAGUCCUUUUCUUGUAGAUGUGGUGCCUCUAACUUCAUCAGCUUCUCUUCUUCUCACUUUCUUGGGUCUUCCAGGUUGCUUUCUAAUCUUUGGGGGAUUCACCUUUUCAGCUCCUUUUGAAUCGCAAUAGUCUUCAGAGGGCAUUGCAGCUAUAGUGUAGUUAUAGGUGCUCAAGUAUGCUUCUUUGCUAUAACAAGGAUCAACAUAGUGUUCAGGCUCUGAUUUAUCCCUUUGAAUGGCAGCAAUAGAAUGUGAGCAUGGAAUCCCACUUAGUUGCCAUGAUCCACAUGUGCAUGUUCUACGACUUAUAUCAACAACAUAUACUCUAGUCCCACAAUCCACUUCAUACUCAGCAUCCCGAGAAUAAUGAGCUAUGCAGAACCUACUAUUUAGCUUGUUCCUCUCAAGUCGUUCUUGUAUGUUUGGACAAAGGUUCCCUUCAUACUGUUGCAUGCCUUCCCUUUUCACAUUUAGCCUCUGCAUGAGUUUUCUUCUUAUCCACUCAAACAUGGAGAUGAUUGUGAACUCUCUUGCUGGAAGUAUGUAGGAAUUAAAUGACUCAUUCAAAUUAUUAACAAGAAUAUCACUCUUGCAUGAGGAGCUGAAAUGUGACCUGGACCAUAAAUGUGCAGGAAUCCUGUUUAACCAACCAGCUGCAUUCAUAGCUUCUCCCACCUUUGGAUCAGCCCUUUCCAAUUCAGCCAUUGCUAUCUUGAAGUCACGAAUGUUCCCAGCAGACGCAGCUGCCCAAAAGUACUCCUUCAACUCCUUUCCCUUGAACUUCUGUUUGAAAUUUUGAUAUAUAUGACGAAGGCAGUACCUAUGCUCUGAUUCAGGAAACACAUCAUCAAUUGCACUGACUAAUCCUUUUUGCCUAUCAGAUAUGAAUGUCCAUGGAGCUCCAUUUUCAGCACCAACUUCAAUUUUCAACUCCAUCAAAAACCAUUUCCAUGAGUCAUAUCUCUCGGCUUCCACUACAGCCAUUGCAAUGGGAAACAUGUUAUCAUUGCCAUCCCUACCCAUAGCUGUCAAAAGUUGUCCACCAAAUGGACUUUUUAAAAAGCAGCCAUCUAAUCCAAUUAUUCGUCGACAACCAGCUAGAAACCCAUUCUUCAUUGCACUUAAACUCCAAUACAUUCUUUCAAAUAUCCCAACCUCGUUCUCAUCCAGUCUAGUCACUUGCAGGACAAUAUGGCUACCAGGAUUCCGGAUCAACAAGGUAGCAGCAUAAUCUCUGAUGACAUUAUACUGUCUUAUAUCAUCCCCUUGUAGUGCCUCUCUUGCCAAUCUUUUAGCUCUAUAAGCCUGUCUCAUGCUUAUGUCCACCAUAAUCUCUCUCCUCACAGUCAUGACAAAUCCUUCAAUAGAAGAACUUGGUUCAUCUCUGAACCUGUCUAAAUAUUUUUUGCUCAAAUAUCUUGCAUUUGCAUGAUGAUUGCUGUAUUCUCUUCCACACACAUGCACUCCCUUUAUUGAUUUGAUCUGAAAGGUGCUUUCAUUUUGAAUUGGGCUUGCCCGUAUUUUCCAAGAACAACCCUUUUUGCACAUGGCAAUAACUUUUGCUCUUUCAUUUUUUUUGUACUUCAUGGUGUAGCCUUCCCUGACAUUCCAUUCCACAAGUGCUUCUCUAAAGGCCCGUAAGUUCUUAAAUUUAUCCCCAACUUUCAACUCAAAAUCUGACUUUCUGAAUUCAACUGCAGCAUUAAAAUCUCGACAACUAUUACCUUUCCCAUUUCUUUCAUCAUCUCCUCACAUAGUGUCAAGCAGUUCUUCAUCAUCAAUAGCAAAUUCAUUCCACUCUUCAUUAGUUUUAGAACUCUCCCCUUCUUCAAAUUUGUUCUUAGAAGAGCCUGGUGUUUGCAGAUCCUCCAUUGUAUAUGUCUGGUUCGCUGUUGUUGGUUCUUCAUCUGUGCCUUUUGCCUGCUGCUGAUUUUCUAUUUCAUUAGCCUUUGCUCUGUUUGCAAAAAUAUCCUCAUCUUCUGGUCCUUCUAAUCCCUCUUUCAACCACUCAGGCUCUUCUAAACUAUCAGAUGUAGCAUCACCGUACUCAUCUUCAUUUUCAGGCUGUUUUUCAACUUCAUCUUGCUUUUCUACAGCUUUUUCACCUUUUUCCUUUGCUGAAUUAGACUCUGCUUUGCUGUGCUUUUUGUUUCCAGUUAGCUUGGUCUGUCUUCUCACUGACUUCUUGACUAUCUGUUUCCCCUUUUUGUUUGCUAACUUUUUUGGGGUAUCUUUAUCAGAUGCCACAUUUUGUGCUCCACUAUGUGGGGCAUCAGUGGGGGCACUUUUACCAUGACUUUUUACUCCAACUGAAGCAAUUUCACUAGGCAUUUCAUCACGCAAUUCAGCAUAUAUGUUGAUAACAUCUACUCCUUCAUGUGCAGUUAACAUUAAUUCUAUUUCUUUAUCUCCUUUAAUUUCAGCUGCUCCAACAUACAACCCACAAUUUGGUAUUUCAAAAUAUAGGUUCACAUUCGAGGCAUCACCAUACCUACUAUACAAUUUACACAACAUAUCCCUGGACAAUUUUCUUGUCUCACAAUUUUUAAAUAUGGCUACAUUGUUACCAGUAUAGACAGUUUCUGGUUCCCAUAUGAAUAUACCACCGAAAUGCAAUUUUAUAGUAAUUCUUUUUGAAGUUGUCAUUUUUUUCAAAGCCUGCAUUAGAAAUAGUGAAACACAUGAUAAGAAAAAAAAAACACAAUCUGAUUAAGAAAAGGACAUUUAAUAGAUUACACACUUCAAUGAAAACACAUGAUUACAAAAAAAUACAAUCUGAUUAAGAAAAGGACAUAUUGCAUAUCGCAUACUUCCAUGGACCACAUGACGGCCAAUAAGCCGACAAGCAAAAAUUAUUCAAUGUCCAAAUUGUCAAAACUUUAUCAGCAGCCAAAUCACUCUAUAUUAUUGAAAAUCAAGCCACCCACAUUUGACCCAAAUCUGACACUAAUCAACAAAUCUCAAACUAACAAAGUCGUAUUCUACCCAUGUUUAGUUGAAAUUCCGGUGAUUUUAGAACUCCCGAAUGCAAUUUUCUUUACCCUAAUCUUAAUGCAUAAAUUCAAUUCUAGUCGAUAAAAUACUCUAUGCUUAAAUAUGAUAAUACAGAUUGUCCCAAAGCAGCAAAAUUUUAAAUUAAUCAACGCUUAAGCAAAAUAAUCACUGAUUUAUUAACUUUCCAAUGCCCGCUAGUUUCUGUUCAAAAACCAUGCAAGUGCAUCUUAUAUGCUAAAAUGAUGUCAAAAAACUUACCAGAUGCAAUAACAGCUUUCGUGAUGCUUUUUCACAGCUACUUUUUGGUCUUCAAUGGUAGAUCUUUGUGGGUUAAAUUUCUCUCCUUCAUUCGGUGGUCAUGUUUUUCUCUCCUUUUCUCACGACAAAGACAGAACAAGGAAGAAUCUGACUCAUCUGCUUCCUUUUUGUAUUUAUAUUAGGGUAAUUUGGACAUUUUGCCCACGAAUCGUUACGGUGGGUGCUUUCCGUCUAUUUGCCAGUUCAACCCAAACCACAGGGGGUUUAUGUAUAGCUUUUUGAACGAUGGGGGGGUUAUGUGGUUUUUGCGAAAACCACAUGGGGCUAAAAUGUAAUUUGCCCAAAAAAAAAAAGAGCAGAGGGUGAGGUGGCUGCGGCAGUGGUGGUAUGGGAAGGGAGGGAAGAGGAAGAGCAGCAGUGGUGUGGUGUGGUGCGGGGAGAAAGAAGAAGAAGAGAGGAAAGAAAAGAAAAAGAAAAAAAAGGAAAAAAAAAACCAAGAUUUGGAAUUUUUUCAAACCUUCAAAUGCACAAAAGUUUUCUUACAAAUUUAUAAUAGUAACACUAACACAUAUAAAAUAGCAAUCAUUUUGGAAACAAACCCUUAGAUUUAUUAUAAUAUCACUUAGCUUAUCUAAAAUUUUUAAAAUUUUACUUUCUUCCCCUGCCAACUUGGGAAGAUCAAAUGUUCCUAUCAAAGGUCACAAAUUUACAACAAUUAUGGUUGCACUCUUUAUGACUAUUUAACUGAAAAACCGAAACAAGAAGAGAGUUUUUAAAAGACCAAAAACUAUAGAUGAAAAAGAUAACCAAAUUGCUAUCCAAUAUUGGUCGAUAUUUCUUUGUAUCAAUGUGGUGGUGGAAUAGUAAAAGACAUGGGUAAAUUAAAUUCUAGUUAAAGACAUGGGUAAUUUUUGUAGAAUAGUUAUGAGGAAAUCAAGAAAUUCUUUUAGAAAAUAUGUUCUAAUAUAGGAUAUAAUUUAAGUUAUACUAAAAAUUAAAAUAACCUCUUCAUACAUGUGGUUUGUAAUAUAAAUCCUACUUAUAGAAAAAAAUUAUAUAAAUAAGUCAGAAUUUAAAAAAUUAGUCAAAAAUGUUCUAAUGACCAAAUAUAUAUCUAGGAAUAUUCUUUUUUUUGUUAGAACAUGAUUUGUUAUACAAGGUAAUAGUUAUUGUACAUCUACAAAAUUAUUCAUUAUUGCAUUUAUAGUUGAUCGUAUUUUCAACUUUUUACUUUUCAACUUUAUUUUAUUUUUUAUUGUUGUUGUACGCUUAAUAAGUAGGAUAGCAUAAGAGUAAUAUUAGAACAAAAAUUUUAUCUUUCUUGCAUUUCCUUCAAAGGGGCUAAAAUGUAUGAAAAAUAUGAAUCCAAGAGAGGUAUGUGAGAUUUUAAAAAUUGAAAGAGUUCUAAGUGAUAUUAUGAGAAAUGUCAUGCGAGGUUUCUGAAAUUAUCCCAAAAAAAUCAUCCAAAUGAACCUUCUUGUUGUUGCAAAAUCUUUGCUUCGGAAUCCUAGUGCCAUAUUUCCAUCUUCUUUAACUCUCCAUCUCUCCACCAAAAAAAAAAAAGAAAAAAAAGAAGCAAUUUUGGUAGCGAGCUACUUUGAAUAAGAUCGUGAAAUAAUUGCAUGUAGAAAUUUGACAAGAAGUGAAAGCAAUCAAAUUUACAAUAUGCCAACAUAUAUUUUUAUAUGAACACGUAUUCUAGUAUUCCAUGAGCCAUUUUGUCUUGCCUUUCGUUCUGCUAGGAAAUGGCCAAAUCCUCCUAAUAUUUACUUCCCAAAAAAAUCCGCCAAAUAUGGCUUUGUCGGCCAUGUCGCACGACGGGGAGGUCCAGAAUAUAUUUUUUAAAAAAAAUGGCAGAGGGUCGUCGCGCCCUGGCUUUUUUUACCACACUGUCGCGCCAACGUGAUGAAACGAACCUGGCAGCUAUGCGACGAGCCUUUUUUUUUUUUCAAAUGUUUUGUAAAAAAUGUGUAGGUUCCGUUAAGUUUUUUUUUUUUUUUUUUUUUUUUGAUAAGGUGGCUUUGGUUUCUUAAGUUUUAGCAUGUUUAGGAUUUACAAUUUAUUAUUUAGGGUUUAGGAGUUGUUAAGUUUGUCGAUAAAAGGGUUUGGAUAUGGCCAUUGUAGUUAAUAAAGGAUUUAUUAAAUGAAAUGUAAUUGUAUUGAAGAAAAAAAUGAGUACAUGAAUCGCAGUUUUUGUAUUUUAGAAUUUAUAUAAAAUGCAAUAGUAUAAAAAAAUUAAUAAUAUAUUGAAAAAUUAAUAGUUAUUUAUAGAAUGCACACAUAAUGAAAGUACUUUUAUAGGUCGUUAUUUGGUAUACAAUGGUACUUGAUACUUAUAUUAAAUGAUUAAACCAGUUAAAGUGGUCAUAAAUUGACUUGUACCUCUACGUUUAAUAAAUUAAUGGAUCCUUUUAUCCAAUUAUAGAAUUUCAUCAAAUAAUUUGUACUUUUGUAUUUUGAAAAUAUGUAACGUUAUUAAACUUUAAAAUAAUUAAACAGGAAAAGUAGGACAAUUAAUUAAAUGUCAAGAUAGUAUGCAGUAUAUUGAAUGGAUGGGAUUUAAAUCUAAGUAGAAGACCGGACAAUAUCAACACUUCGGGGUUUCUUGUCUUUAUCCCUGUCUUUGGGCCUUCUUACAAGGUGUGGUGGGGGAAUAACAAUGCCUAGUAGGGGCGACGGUCCUUUGCCUUCUUUAAAAGAGAAGAAAAAUCUGGAUCGCCUGACGCUUCUAUAUGGCACAACGGGCAUGCUUUAAUACACAACUUACACAUAGUUAUAUUUGGCGGAUUUUUUUGGGAAGUAACAAAUAAUAUUCUGAGGAUUUGCCUUGGGGUAAAAGUUGCUUGUAAUUGUUAGUCUAGCUACUUGACUUCAAUAUUGAAGAUUGUCCGGCACAUAAAAUCCCAAGUCGUAGUCUCCAAGAUAUAUGUAUGAAGUGACGACGAGGUUGUUGAUAAAUCCAUUUAUGACAGCACCAUGUGCAACUCAUGAUAAUUAAAUGUAAUUUUAUUUAAAAAAUACAGAUGAAUUUUAUUAUGUUGCAGGCUAUCUUAUCGACAAAAAAAAAAAAAAAUCUCCAUUUGGCCAAAAAUCAUAAACCCAUGGGCCAAAAAAUUGGUAAACAAGUUGAGUACUACGCUUUGCAUCUUUCUCUGUAAUCAUUUUCACGAGUUUGUCGUGUAGCGUGAUAUUAUUGCGAAAGAAAGUGUUCUCUAUUAUGACAGGACCAUGUGCAACUCCUGUCAGACUCAGGAGCUUCCACCUUUCCGACUGGAUGUGUCGGCCGAAGGAAAUCACACGUCAAAUUUCAUUUGAUUUGUGGAUGGAAGGCUAUGGAAGCUGUAGGCCCCGAAGCAAAAUUAAUUGGUCCACAAGAAUUGCCAAAUUAGUUUUCUUUUUCCAAAUUCAGUUAUGCGAGUAAAUGAAAGCUUUUACAACCAUUAGUUCUUUUAAAAUGUUUUAAAGCGUAACUGCAUGCACACAUUCUAUAUUCUUUUGUCUCUUUUUCAGUUUUUAUACUCCAUCUAGGAUGUCUAAUCAUUAUUUCGUAAAAAAGGAAAAAAAAACUAUGUAUAUUUUUUCUUUAUAAUUAGUCAAUUACAAAUUGGUAAAGUUCUAAUCAAUUUCAUCCAUUAUCUAACUUGCAAGAAAGGAAAAGAUAUCUCCUAAAUACAAAGUUCAAAAGGAGUUUCUAGCCUUUUAUAAUCACGUUCACAUGAUGUUUCGGUGGAUAUCCAUUUACCCAUUUUCCGUUAAAGAAAUUUACUUAUUACAAUCUUUUUCUUUACACUCCUCUAAAAUAGUAUGGAAUAUUAUCAUAAUUCUUCACAUGUCAUUAUUAAACCGAGGGUUAAGGUUUGUUGGAAAGUAAUCAAUAAAUAGUAUAUGAGUUAAUUAUUCUUAAUAACUUUCAAAGUAUGUUUUAUGUUUAGUGUCUUACAUUCAUUAAAUUUAUUGUUUUGGUUCAUUUAUAUCCAUGUUUUUUUGGAAAAUUAAAGUUUGAAGCUAAAAAGAAGUUAAUGCAAAUGCACGGCUGAAUAACUAGUGGUCUAAUUCUAUUGCUUGCUUAUCCACAAGAACGACCACGCCAACACUACUACAUUAAUACACUCAUACUUUUGCAUUUCUUAAUUACUUGCAUUACUUAUUCUUUCUUCCCAACAAUUCUACAGCCCAUAAUCAUCAUUCCAAUUUUAAUUCAGUAAUCUUCAUACAGCUCUGAACAUAUAACUAUAUUUAAUAUAAAUUCGUGUCAUUCCUGCAUUUCAAUUCUCAAAAUCUUAUUGCAUGCCUUACUUUAUAAUGGUGUUUAAUUACUUAAGUUCAUAAACAAUCAUUAGUAUCAAAAUCAUAAACUUGUAUCGCACAAUAGGAUGCUCUUCGCAUCAUUAUCAGAAGUUUAGCAAUUAAUCUUCGUCAUGUCACAAGUAAUUUCAAUUUCGCAGCUAGGGGUGAAAUUGCAAAGCAUUUGGUUAAUCGGAUGUUCGAACAAAUUUAAUUAAUUAAAUUUAAUAUGAAUUCAGUUCGGUCAAAUAGAUUUUGAUAUGGCCUUGGUAAAAACAAAAUUAUGAGAGUGCUUAAUUAGUUUGAAAGUAACUCGGAAUUCUAGAUUUUUUAUUUUAAUUGAUAUAGCACGCGUACACAUACUAUGUUACACAUGUUCACUCCACGUUGUUGUGGAUAUUGAAUAUUCUUAAUUACUAUUAUCUUUUAUUCUUUUUUUUUUCCAUCAUCUCUUCACUUUCCUUCUUUCUUUUUCUUGAUCACUUGCAUUUUGUGGAAUUAUUUUUCAUAUUUCCAAUAGUUUGCUUUACUUGCUUUUCCAUAUUUGUAAUUAUUUUCGUUAAUAUUGUGACAGCCCCACCUUCCCCUAAGGCGAACCAAAGGGUUUAGCGGACUGCCAGCCCAACUCUCGCUGGGACUCAGUCAGUCAUUUCAAGAAAAGACGAUAAAAUCCACAAAACAAUUGAAAUAACAAUAAUUCCAAACUUAAACGUAAACUUAUAUAUAUUUCUAUCUCAAAAGCAACACAACUCAAGUACAAAGGUUCUCCUUUCUCCAUACAACCAGCCCGCCAACCGCUAGGACAAGAACCAUUACAAAAGAAAUAUCAAAACUAGACCAAACUAGUCUAUACGGAGCUCUCGUCCUUGCGCGCCUUCCCCUGUUAAGGAAAACAACUAAAGGGAUAAGCUAAAAGCUCAGUGAGGUUCUGAACACAUAAACAAACAAUAAACUCAAAGCAUAGAACACCAAUAAUUCAAGUAACAUUUACAAUAUAAAGCGGUAACAUAUUCAUUAAAGGAUACGUGCUCACAAGGAGCCAUUCAUUCAUUCGUUCAUUCAUUCAUUCUCCUUUCAUUCCUUUAUUCCUCCAAUCAUUUGAAAAUGCAUCUUUGUAAGUAAAAACCCUCGUUCAUUCAUUCGUUCAUUCAUUUCAUUCACUCCCUUCCCGGACAUUGACCAGGCUCCACCAAACUUCAAGGUAAUACUCGAGUAUACCAAACGUUCACCCAAGUCACCAAAUCGCCAGACCGAGUUCGCUUCUGGCUCGAGUCGAUCGGUAACAAGGGGCAAGGCCCAGUUCAGCCAGAAGGCUUACAUUCAUGCACAAGUAACACUUCAAUCGUUCCAUCAUUGAAAACUUCACAAUCAUUUAGGCCGAGUGCGAUGAAGUACACACUCGCCUAAAAACUUGUUUUAGCAAUCAUUGAAAGCAUUUAACAUGUUAUCAAUUAUUCAGACAAGCCAUAUAAUCAAGAAAUAUAACAAACAAGGAACACUCACCUAGUUAUGCAAAAUAACGUCCAAAAUAUCCUACCGGGUAUUACCCUCAGUUACCAAUGAAACUUAAAAUUAAACAAGAGAAACUAUUACAGUUUAUCUAGCAAAACAAUUAAGGGAAAUUGAAGGAACCUGACUAAUUACGAAUACAACAUAUAAAGAUGACUUUCAAGUGAAAAGAGAGCAUUUGGAUUCCGUGGACGGGAAUAAUUAGGGUUUCAUAAACCAAACGAGAAACUAAACUCAAAAGAGUUAUAAAAGUUCCAACGGAAAACACUUGGACCAAAUACAAGUCGGAAUCCAACUAGAUAGGCUAAGAAAUAUUGUUUUCAGAAUCGCUUAUGUGGUUCAAAAUCAACUCAUAUUUGAGUAGAUAUUAGUUUUCAAAUAUCUCAAUGAAAAUCAUGUAAAAAGGAAGACACUAAAAGCCUUACUUUGAAAGUAGUUUCCCGUAACCAAGAAAACCCCAAUUCAUACCUCUUUAUUUUGGUAAACAGUAAGUAAACGUUGGAAGUGUCAAACUGGAGAGGUAUUAUAUUUUAGAAUGGUAAAAUGGUCAUGAUAUUCAUUAAGCAGAAAUAUAGGAGUUCAAAUAGAAAAUAGCUUCUCGAACACCCUUCGAGAGCACAAAUGUAGUUUUCAAAGAAGUACAUUCAAUUUGACACAAAAAUUACAUUUUCACAUUCACUGGAACUUACUCACAAUUCACGAAAGUAAACGGACGGCAUUUCCCCUUAAAUUCUUUAUUUCACCUUACAAUCAAAAUACCCAACCUUACAAGAAUUAACCACAAUCACAAAUUCGGUUUAUAAACAAUAAAACACAUCCAAUUGGGUCACAAUAUCCCUCAAUUAAAGCCAAUUAGAAGUUCAAAAGCCAACUAUUAGAAAACCCCCAAUUUAAACCCUAGAAACCGGAAUUUAUCCCAACAAGCGUAAAUUUUCCGCAAACGAUUGUAAUUAACGAAUAAAGUUGCAAUUAACACCAUUUAGAGCUAUCAAAUCAAAGCCAAUCCAUGACUAUUAUAUAAAAUCGGAAAAAUCCCCAAUAAAUCAGAAAAUGGCCCAACUUGACCUAAAACCAUGAAAUCAUCCACAAUAUAACAAUCUUAACCACUAGAAACGACCAUGAUAUCAUUAUUAAGAUCAAGGAGAAAGUUCCUUAGCAUCUCACCUUAAUCCCAAGAAAGAUAGCACCUUAAAGCUUUUCCCUUCAAAAUCACUCCACCAAGAGUUUUAAUCCCUCUUAACUAACACUUGUACGGAGUAGAAUAAAAAUCUAUCGGUGAAAUCUCAAGAUUGAAGCAAAAAUUGAAAUUAGAAAAUGAAACCUUUUCUUGGUUUUUCCUCUCAAGAGCCAUGGUUGAGCAAGGAGCAAAAUGAAGAUAUUUUGGACCAAAACAAGAUAAGAAGGAAGAAAAAUCGCUGGUCAAAGCUGCUGUCCCAUCACAAUCCGGCCAGAUUCCUGGGCGGAUUCAGGGCAAUAGCGAAACUCAAUUUUUUCAAAAAUCUCAAACAAUCCGGCCAAUAUCUGGCCGGAUUUGGUACUAAGCAGUUUCGACAAAAUUUUUCGUUUCCAAAAUCACACGCCGCGUUCAUCCGUACUCCCAGAAAGUAUAUAUAUCCAUAAUCUUAUACAAAUACACUUAAUACACACCAUCACAUGUUCAUGUAUAAGAAAUGAAAACCCUCCUUAACAAUGGAUAGCCAAUUCUCUUCAUUUUCUUCAAGGAAAGUGAAAUUAAACAAAAUACCAAGAAAAUGUGAAAAUUUUGGGUUCUCACAAAUAUCAAUUUCAUCAUAUUUAUGACUAACAAUCUAACAGGGAUUUAUGCCUUUACAAAUUGUUAAUUAUUUGGUUAAAAAACCUUUCAAAAGAUUUGUUUUAUUGUAUGGCAAUUUUUGGGGACCAAUUAAUUUUGCUUCAAGCCCCACAUUUUCCUUGCUAAGUGUGUUGUGAGGUUACACGUGGCCUUGUUGGGAUUGUGCCUUUUUUUGCAGAAAAAUUUUUAUAUUUUUUUACAAUUAUCAUUUUAUCUCAGAAACAUCAAAUCGUUACAGUAUAUUUUUUUACAAAAACUCCUAAAAAUAGCAAUACAAAUGGAGCUCUUGCAGCCACAAAUCAAAUGAAUUUUGACGUCAUUUUUAGUGUGACUUCCUUCUUCUGACACGUAUCCACUUUGUAUGGUUGGAACAUCCCGCUAUAGAAGAUCCGGUCGGUCGUGGCCAAUAAUGGGAUAGCAUAGCUUUUUGCCCAAUCACUUAAGCACGGCAAGAAGUAUUUUUUUUUUUAAUUUUACUUUUAAAUAGCGGCAAUAAGUUAUUAACAAAAGAUAAUAUGCUAGUUCUAAUACUAUGACGCUAUUCCCGUUUCCUCUAGAGGAUUUUUCAGCCAACAAACUCCUCCAACUGCCUUCCUCAAGUCUUUCUAGGGUUCUUUCUAUUUGUUUCUGUAAUACACUUUCUGACAAAUUUUCAAUCCUAGUAUUUUCUCAGUGGAAAUAUCUUUUUUUCUUAGUGAGAAUUUUUGUUUUUUGUUUUUUAGUUUUUAUUAGAUUUAAGUUUAUUCAAGUCUAAACUUUCUCGUAGGGCUUGAAAAUCUGUCUGGGAAGGCUUACAAUUCAUUUGCAACUACAAACAUUUAUAUGCAUUUAAUUAUAAGAAAAUUUGGAGCUUUCUAGUUUUUUUUUUUUUUUGUUAUUGGUUUCUCUGAUUUGAAGGAAGUCACUUCUAUUUGCAUUUCCAUUGCGUCUUUUUCAUGUAUUUUCUCCUAUUUGUACAGCUUUUAUGUGAAUAAAUAAAAUUCUCUUCUUCGUUAAAAUAAAUGAAAGAAAAUAUGAAGGAGAAAUUAAUUGAUCUAAUUGACAAUAUGUCUUUAUCAAUAGAUGCCUCCUCAGAUAUUCUCAAAAACUUCCAUACUCUAACUAUCAUUAUUUUUACACAAUAGUAUUUCUUUAACAAUUACUAGCAUUUCUAUUUUGUAAUUUGAACUACUUUCUUUCCAUCUUUGGUACACUUAUAGUUGCAAUUAUCUUAUGUUAAAUUCAAUAACUUUCAACUACAUGUUAUGGUGAGAGAUAUUUGUUUGACAUGAUAUAAACCUAAGAAGAAAAGAAUUCAAUUUGAAAACACACGUAAGACAAUAUAUAUAGGUCCAUGUACAUAAACCAAAGACCAAAAUUAUAUCAUCUCAGUAAGCACAUUUAAUAAUAUUCCCUGGAGUAUUAAAAUUAAGCAUAAGUUAAACAUUUUAUCUGGAAAUGUCUCCUAAUAAUCUUAUAUGUGAAUGAAAUAAUUAGGCAGAGAAUUGGGAAACGGAAAGACUUGAGCAUAUGCUCUUUUUCUGUGAAAUUGCACAACAAAUAUGGUAAGUAGCACCAACCCAGUGGGAUGGCCUAGGAAAUAGAAGCAACCUCUGCCAUUGAUGAGGGGAGUUGAUGGAAGAAAACGCAUUGCUUUGAACUGUAAACCUGCGCAGAUUUGCAAAGAAAGGAGGUUGUUCAAGUGUUAAUUUAGUGGCCAUGACACCACCUGGACGGUCGGACCAUUCAGUACUGACAGAGCCAUGUUAAGUCAAGGGCGGAGCCAUGUUAGAGAUCAAUAAUCAGAGGCUUACAAAAUUUCGUAAUUUUUCAAUUUAGCUCACAUUUGCACUGACAAAUUUUGUAAAAAUUUUAUUUUGCUCUUGCAUUGCCCCUUAGAGCAUCUACAAUGGUUUACACCCUUUAGGGUGUAAUCCACAUGCCACAUCAGCAUUUCACUAUCUCCUCUUUUUAUUACACUCUUAUCCACAAUGGAUUACACUCACAGAAUAUAAUAGCAUGGAUCCACAUGCCGCAUCAGCAUUCCACUAUCUCCUCUUUUAUUAUACUCUCUCCCCUCUUUUAUUUUAACAAUGCAUAACUCAUAACCCAUAAAUAAAUAAAUUUAUUAUUUUAAAAAUGGUUAUUUUUAAAAAUAAAUUAUUGACGUGACACCUCAAAAUGUGAAAAUAUCAUAAUAAUCCAUUAUUCAUUAAUAAUACCCUAUCUACUGAAUUUAACUGCACGACAUAAUAUUAAAAUUAAAUAAAAUACCAAUAAUAAUAUAACGAAUACUAAUUUUUAUUAUUAUUGCCUCCAAAUCGUUCCCAAAAAUGCUCGAACAAAUCCAACAGAAGUUGAUGAUGUACUUUCCGAUCACGUAGUUUCGCAUUCCUCUGAAGAUAAUGGUGAAAAUUUUCGACUUGAGUCACAGGGAUCGUUGGUUCUUCAUCAUCAUUAUCCCAGUUUUUUAUUGCAUCUCCCUCAUCCUCGACAAUCAUAUUAUGCAAUAUGAUGCAUGUGUAUACUAUAUCUUUCAAUUUAGCUUUAUGCCAAAAUCGAGCUGGGCCACGUACAAUUGUCCAACGAGAUUGGAGCACUCCAAAAUCUCGCUCGACGUCUUUUUUUUGCAGCCUCCUGUAUUUGCUUAAAUUUGAUCCUCUUUGGAUCUUUAGGAGAUGUAAAACUUUUAACAAAUGUUGUCCAUUCUGGAUAUAUGCCAUCUGCUAGACAAUAUCCUUUGUUGUACUGUGUGCCGUUUACCAUAAAUUGAAUAUCAGGAGCAUAUCCGUGUAACACGUCGUUAAAUAGUGGAGAUUGAUUGAGUACAUUAAUGUCAUUGUUAGAUCCCGCGAUGCCAAAAAAUGCAUGCCAUAACCACAAAUUUGCUGAUGCAAUUGCUUCUAGCAUUAUUGUGGGAGAUCCUUGAUCACCUCGAGUAAAUUGACCUUUCCAUGCCACGGGACAAUUCUUCCAUUGCCAAUGCAUGCAGUCAAUGCUACCAAGCAUUUUGGGGAAACCAUGGCGCUCAGAAUGCAAUUGAAGUAAACGUUCAACAUCAUUAGUAUUAGGCCUUCUCAAGUAUUGUGCUCCAAAAAUAUCGAUCACGCACCAACAAAAUUGUGACAAACAUUCGAUUGCAGUGCAUUCACACAUCCUUAUGUACUCGUCCAAUUGGUCAGCAGGUGCUCCAUAUGCUAAUUGUCGGAUAGCUGCUGUGGUUUUUUGAAGUGGAGAAAGUCCUCUUUUGCCAGCUGCAUUGACCCUCAUUUGAAAAAACUCUGAAUGAUUUGUCAUCGACUCCACAAUUCGAAGGAAUAAUUCCCUUCUCAUUCAAAAUCGUCAGCGGAAUAUAUGUGAAGGAUACACUGGCUCGUUGGUGAAAUAGUCAUUAACAAGUCGAACAUGUCUAACACCACGCUCUCAAUUGUAAUAUCUUCGACUGUGUGGACGGAUGUUACGACUUGAAGAUGUAUGUUGCGUUUGCCAUUGCUCCAACAUCUUCAUAAUUUGAUCAUCAAUGUCAUCCAUCAUUUCAUCGGCUAAAAACUUUUAAAUUUCUUCUAUAAGAGAGAUAUCAGGAUAUUAAUACAUUUUUUGAGUCUGUUGAGUAUUUGGUGGCAAUGUAUUGCGUCUUGCCAAUACAAAUAUAGUGCUAGUGUUAUAACGGCUAGUUUUCCAACGGCUCAUUUUUCUAACGGCUAAUUUUCCAACGGCUAGUCUUCUGACUUAUUAUAAUGAAUAUAUAUAAUAUAUAUUUAUAUAAUUAAUAUUAUAUUUAUAUUAUAUAAUAUAUUUAUAAUUGUUAUAUACAUAUACAUAAUAUAUUAUAUAAAUAUAUAUUACAAUUAUUUAAUUAAGUAUAAUUAUAUUUAUCUAAUAUAAAUUAUAAGUUUAUGAAUAUUAUAUUAAUUUAAAAUGAUGAAAUUUAAAACUUCGUUAGCUUGGUUUCAAAUCCAUGGCCGGAUUUCAUAGUUUGGUUUCGAAUCCAUGACUGGAUUUCAUAACCUCGUUCCAAAUCCAUGGCUGGAUUUUAUAUGUUGGUUUCGAAUCCAUAGCUGGAUUUCAUAACCUGGUUUCGAAUCCAUGGCAGGAUUUCAUAAAUUGGUUUCAAAUCCAUGGCCAGAUUUUAUAGCUUGGUUUCGAAUCCAUGGUCGGAUUUCAUAGCUUGUGUCUAGUUACGCCAUAAAUGUACUACAUAAGUGAUUAAUAUGAUACAACAUGGUUUUUUCUGCAUCUUAUUGCACCGUAUAGUAAAAUAAAAUUAAAAAUAGACUAAGAAAUAUUAUAUUUGGCUUUUAGGAUGAAGCACAUUUGCUCAUGAAUUCGAAGCUGUUAAUCGGUCAUACCCGUGGUAUCCUUGAGUAAUAUUUCAUAAUCACUUUGAAAAUUAUAACUUUAUAACUUAUUUGCCAAGUUUUCCAUAGCCUGCAAUUUUUCUUCUUUUUGCUGCAUCAACACUUUUCGGAUUUGAUCAAAUUCCUCACUCACAUUUGAUUUUGCCUUUUUCUUUCCCUUCUUUGAUGCUUUUUGACCAGGUGGGUGAACUUCACGUGCUUCAUUAUCAUUGAUGUCAAAAUUUGAAUUCGUAUUGGAUGAAUAAGUGUAUGCCCCGCUUUCAUCGGUUAUUAUCUUUUUUGAAGAACGUUGCAUAGGAGUAUUUACUUUCCACUUCGGAUCAUUUUUCAACAACACCCACACAUGUUCAUGUAAAAAAUGCUUGUUAUUAUUCUGAUGAAAUAGCUCACGUGCGUGUUGCUUGAUCUAGUCAUCAUUCCACCUGCUAUGAUGUUUGCCGACCAAUCUGUUGUAAUAUUGGUUGAACUCAUUAACCAUCCGACUCAACCAAUGCCAAUGUGAUUUCACUGCUUUAUAUUUUCGUGGUGGUCCAGAUUUUCGAUUCUCAUUGAAGUAGUCGACGACUCAUUUCUAAAAACUUUUUUCAUUUUGAGAGUUACCCACAACGCUGCAAUUUGAAAUUGUGAGCCAAGCACUUGCAAGAAUCUUGUCAUCAUCCACACUCCAUGGAACACAUUUACGGUCAGGUUCUUCCACCGCCUCAUUUGUGAGAUUUAUAUUUUCUACCUCACGUUGUGUUGAAUACGGUGGAAAUUGAGAAUCCUAAAUUGACUCUGUUGGUGUUGCAUUAUCUUGUUGACUGGCGAAAUCAAAAUCCUUCCUUAUCUCCGACGGAGUCGUUGAGCCUUCACAACCCAUACCAAGGUUAUAAUACCUCGGUGUAUAGUGAUUUCCCAUAGAAUGAUUAAAAUAAUUAGGUGACGGAUACAUGGGAAUUUGAUAUGGAAAAUGUGGUGGAUUUUGGAAAUUUGAUGAAUGAUUGGAAUUGGGUAAAUUUGGGUAAUUUGGAAUUGGAAAUGGAUAAUUUGGCAAAUUUGGAUAAUUUUGGUGGUUUUGAUUUUGUGAAGCGGAUGAAUUUUCUAUAUUUGGACUAUUUAACAUAUUUCUAAAACUACUAAGAUUCUCAUCUAUAAUGAUAAAAUACUGAAAUUUAUAAAAUUAUGUAAAGAGAUUGAAAAUAAUGAAUAAGGGAGUAGGAGAGAUAAUGGAGUAGAAGAUUGUGAGGUGAAAUAAAAAAAUUAAUUUGUGUAUUUAUAGGAAGUAAAAUAAAUUAUCCGUUGCUAAAAUAUAGCUGUUGUAAAAAAAGGCCAUUGUCAAAUGAUUGGUUCCAAAAAUGACCAUUGUAAAAUGUUUCAAAAAAUGACCAAGUAAAAUGCUGUCUCAUUUUGGCUAUUUGGAUGUUUGCUAGUAUUGUAAUGCCGUUUGGAUCCCAUAACAUCUUCAAUGACACGCAUCAUCAAUAUUGUACGUGUCAUCUAAUCAGUAUUGUGCGUGUAAUCUCCAUGACACGGUCAUAACAUCUUCCAUGACACGUAUCAUCAAUAUUGUACGUGUCAUCUAAUCAGUAUUGUGCGUGUAAUCUCCAUGACACGGUUGGUCUUCCAACCGUGUCAUGGAGCGGUGUAAUGGGGGGAUUAUACCCCCAUUAUACAUUGCUGUGGAUGCUCUUAAAACAGCUAACGUAUUUGAAAAGUAGAAUGGACCAGCUAAAUAACCAAGAUGCCGCCGAUUACAAUAAUUUGCAUGGUGAGUUCUUGGUAGUAGUUAUUUAGUGACUUCCAAGCCUUUGCUCAUUAUAAAUACCGGCCCCCUCCACAUUCCAAACAUACUCAACCACCUUCCUUGUGCUACAUUCUGCUAUCUUCUGCCACCACCACCACCCCCACUACUCCCAGAAAAUGGAAAGCUUUUCUCCCACCUGGGCUGUAUAUGCACUCGCCUGGGUUGCAACGGUGGUUAUCGCCCAUCUCUCGAAGCAUUUCCAUCAGCAAAAACUCAACCUCCCACCGGGUCCAAGGCAAUGGCCUAUAAUUGGAAACUUAAACCUCAUUGGCACCCUUCCUCAUCGUUCACUCCAUCAACUCUCCCUAACAUAUGGUCCCCUAAUGCACCUUCAAUUCGGCACCUUCCCAGUUGUCGUUGGCUCCUCCGUGGAGAUGGCCAAAGUUUUCCUCAAAACCAUGGACGUCACAUUUGCAGGGAGGCCUAAAACUGCAUCCGGAAAAUAUAACUCUUAUGAUUGCACCGACAUGACUUGGUCCGCUUACGGACCAUAUUGGCGCCAGGCACGUAAGAUUUUCCUUACGGAAUUAUUCAGUGCAAAAAGACUCGAAUCAUAUGAACAUAUUCGGGUGGAAGAAAUGAAUUCGCUUCUGCUACAGCUAUUCAAGUCAUCAGGCAAGCCUGUCGUGUUGAAAGAUUAUCUUUCAACAGGAAGUUUGAACGUGAUUAGCAGGAUGGUCCUGGGGAAAACAUACAUUGAUGAGUCUGAGAACUCAAUUGUCACGCCCGACGAGUUCAGGCAAAUGAUGGACGAGCUUUUUUUGCUGACUGGUGUGUUUAACAUUGGUGACUUCAUACCUUGGAUCGAUUUCUUGGAUUUGCAGGGGUAUAUCAAGAGGAUGAAAAUCUUGAGCAAGAAAUUUGAUAGGUUUCUGGAGCAUGUUCUCGAUGAGCAUAAUGCCCAAAGGAAGGACGACACUAAUUGCGUCAGCAAGGACUUGGUGGACGUCCUUCUGGGCCUUGCAGAUGAUCCCACUUUGGAGGUGAAGUUAGAGAGGCGUGGAGUCAAGGCAUUGACUCUGGUAUAUGUUACUUACAAACUGCACAACGCAUGCUGUCAACUUUUAAACGACUGAAAACUUGAGAGAAAAUAGUCAGUGAUCUUUUGAACUUGAAUACUCCUCAAAAUUUUCUUUGCUACUGAAAACUUGAGAGAAAGUAGUCAGGAUCUUUGUAGUUUGAUGAAAAUUUUUCAGUGGAGGCAGAAUUAACAAGAAAAUUCUUUUUAAUCCUUCUAAAAGAAAUUGCUUUUGAUAAAGGUACUCAAGUAAGUAAGAAAAUUGUUGGCCAAGUACAGUCAAUUUGCAACUUAAAAACGUUUCUUGCUGCACUUUGCGUAAUGAUUGAACUCUAGGACCUACUUGCUGGUGGAACCGAGACCUCAGCGACUACAGUAGAAUGGGCCAUUUCGGAGCUACUGAAAAACCCAGAAAUAUUCAACAAGGCAGCCGAAGAACUCGACCGUGUUAUCGGUCAGAAUCGAUGGGUGAACGAGAAGGACAUGCCAAAUCUUCCUUACAUAGAGGCUGUUGUUAAAGAAACAAUGCGUAUGCAUCCCGUGGUCCCAUUGCUAGUGCCAAGAUGUGCUCGCGAAGAUUGCAAAGUUGCAGGGUACGAUAUUCAAAAGGGAACUCGAGUCAUCGUCAACGUUUGGUCAAUUGUGAGGGACCCUGAAUUGUGGGAGAAGCCAGAGGUAUUUUGCCCCGACAGAUUCAUGGGAAAGGACAUUGACUUCAAAGGGCAAGACUGUAAGUUCUUGCCAUUUGGUGCUGGAAGAAGAAUGUGCCCAGGGUAUAGUUUAGGCCUCAAGGUUAUCCAAUCUAGUUUGGCCAAUCUUUUACAUGGAUACAGAUGGAAGUUGCCAAAUGACAUGAAACCUGAGGACCUGGACAUGGAAGAAAGAUUCGGCAUUACUACACCAAGAAAAAUCCCACUUGUUGCCAUUGUUGAGCCUCGGCUUCCUCGUAAUCUUUAUUGACUAUGAUUCACUACGUGUAUGUUUGAUCUCCCAGUAUCAUCAUUAUCAACUUGUGUUCAAAUAAAUCAGCUCUGCAAGUUUAGAAUUUGUAGCUGCGCUUAUAUGUGUUUGCCAAUUGCUACAACGCUACAAACCCUUGUAGUUGGUGCAUGGCAUAUGCGUAAUCACUGAGAUUGUUAUGCGUAUUGAAUUCCAAAUUUGUUCACAAUUAUGUGAAACUGUGAAUAUGCACACCCCUGAUGUUUCAAAUACAUUCUAUAAAAUUCUGAUGCUAAUUUAAAUCUGCAAUAGCAGGCACACAGUCAAAGCAAUGUGCUCUCUGCCAUCUUUCCUCUUAGCAUCUUCCAUCAAUUCCUGUGCACCUCUAAGCCAUGCCACUGGAUUGGUGCUACUUUCCGUACUUGUUGGGGGGAAGAGAGAAAGAGAAAAAAAAAAGAGCGGAGGGUGAGGUGGCUGCGGCAGUGAUGGCAUGGGAAGGGAGGGAAGAGGAAGAGCAGUAGUGGUGUGGUGCGGAGAGACAGAAGAAGAAGAGAGGAGAGAAAAGAAAAAAGAAAAAAAAGGGAAAAAAAGCAAGAUUUGGAAUUUUUUCAAACCGUCAAAUGCACAAAAGUUUUCUUAAAGUUUUAUAGUAAAGUGUUAUUCUUGGUUUUGAUGAUCACAAAAGUUUGUUUAUACAGACCAAGAAAGUGAACACUUUGAUCAGGUCUGUUGGAACAAAGAAAGCGUAUGUUCGUUUAUCUCCUGACUACGUUGCUUUGGAUUUGGAUGUGGCAAACAAGAUUGGAAUAAUAUGAAUGAAUUUAGUCAUUGUUUUGUUUUCGAUCAAA
rnacentral:lncRNA from 1 species